rnacentral:lncRNA from 1 species
GUGAUCCACAUGCCUCAGCCUCCCAAAGUGCUGGGAUUACAGGCGUGAGCCACCACGCCUGGCCCAUCCACUAAUUUUUUUUAUUGAGGUCCUCUUUGGGUCAGGCAUCAGGCUGGCCACUGAAACUAGAGAUGACACUGAUGGGUUCUUGUCUUCCUGGAGGACUCAGUCUAGUGGGAGAAAGAUGACAUUGCCAGCAUGCCAGAGAACAGAUAGCAUCAGGGCUACACCCCAGUGCAGAGGCGUGGAAUUCAGUGAACAGUAAUGUCAACUGGAGGAGAGAGAUGUCAUUUGAACAGGGCUUUAAAGGAGGAGGAUUUUGAGCCGGCGUGGUGGCUCACGCCUGUAAUCCCAGCACUUUGGGAGGCCGAGGCAGGUGGAUCACAAGGUCAGGAGUUCAAGACCAGCCUGGCCAAGAUGGAGAAACCCCGUCUCUACUAAAAAAAUACAA